UUUUUUUAUUAUAUUAUAUUCUUUUAUCAAAUUCCAGGUGUGUGAACUGGAAGCUGAACUGGAAGCUGAGCAGCGACGUGGAGCUGAUGCCAUUAAAGGAGUCCGGAAAUAUGAGAGGAGAGUGAAAGAGCUCACCUACGAGACUGAGGAGGACAAGAAGAACAUCGCAAGACUUCAGGAUCUGGUCAACAAGCUGCAGCUCAAAGUCAAGGCUUACAAGAAACAGGCUGAGGAGGCUGUGAGUCAACUACAAUUAUAUGACAAAUUUCCUUCAGCUUGGUUCAUAGCAUGAUCAUUGACUCCCCUAUAACUAAGUCAGUAUCUUUGUAAAUCCUUACAGGAGGAGCAGGCAAACACUCACAUGUCCAGGCUCAGGAAGGUCCAGCAUGAGCUGGAGGAAGCUUAGGAGCGUGCUGAGAUUGCUGAGUCCCAGGUCAACAAGUUGAGAGCCAAGAGCCGUGACACUGGAAAGAGUGAGUCUGCUGAAUAAGACACACUUGAAUGAAGCUGUUCAACAGAUUUCAUAAAAUAUGAAUCAUCUGUUGGAUGCUUUUUAUGCUGCAAGCUUAAAUAAAUGUUUUGAAAAUGACUCAUUCAUUUUAUUGUUUCUUUGCUUUCAUAAAAUAAUGUUUAGAAUGUAAAUGUAAUCGUUAAAGAGGGAGCUAUUAAAAGUAAUAAAUAAAAAGCCAUACUGAAUUGUUUAGCCACUUAGUAACACUUUUGAAAAGGAGUAUCCAGAAGGAAUGUUUAUUAGCUCUACAGAUAGCCAUAUAAUGCAGAAAAUAUCUAAGAAGCAACAGCUGCUGCAACCAGUAUUUUAUGUGAAAGACAUGUAACAGGCCAGACCUACCUGUGGAUUUACCAAAGGUUUUUAAAGUGUAUUUUUCAUGAUAAAUCAAAUAAUAAAUACAUAAGUAUACAUAAAUUAAAGAAAUAAAUCAAUGAAUUUGAAAAGAAAUUUAAUGUUUGUUAAUUAAACGAGUUACUGUUACUAAAAGAUUCUCAGUAAAAGUUCCUAUAGUGUCUUGCUUUUAUAUAGAUCUAGUGAGCUAGGUGGCUUAUUAAAAGUGACACAU